UACAGAGGCCUCAAGCGUUGUUCGGAAUCACUGGGCGUAAAGGGUGCGUAGGCGGCGCGGAAAGUCAGGGGUGAAAGUCCCGGAGCUCAACUCCGGAACUGCCUUUGAUACUCCCGCGCUUGAGAACUGGAGGGGACAUCGGAAUUCACGGUGGAGCAGUGAAAUGCGUGGAUAUCGUGAGGAACACUAGUGGCGAAGGCGGAUGUCUGGACAGUAUCUGACGCUGAGGCACGAAGGCCAGGGGAGCGAACGGG
rnacentral:rRNA from 1 species